ensembl:lncRNA
GAAAAAGUCAAGGGGUCUGAAUACUUUCUCAACGCACUGUAUAUUCUUCAAGACUCAAUGGAAAUGAAUUUAAAGUCUAAAAAUGGAUAAAGCAACGGCAGAUUGUCCCUUUAAAUCAAAAGUGACUUUGUCUGUAGUGUGAGCUGUAUGUUUUGUAUGUAUGUAUUUUAGUGUACUCGCAGAUCAGUGAUACAAUACUACUUCUGUUCAUCACCAAGCAAUGUAGCUACAACAACUUGUCAAAGAUUGAGGCCAACCAACGCAGCUACAAUGUAGUAACCUUUAUUGCGUUCCUUCAACAACUUCAUUUCCAUUACAAAAAAAUUCAAGGGUUCAUUUGCAUUAUCCCCCGGUUCCCGCCAUCCCAACCUCAUAAGAAUAGUACAGAUACCAUUCAUUGUACAGUUUAAGAACAAUUCAUUAAAAACUUCACUGAUAUCAAACUGAAUGGCAACAUGAGGCCAAUCCAAGCCACUUUAUAGGGGACUGAAAUGUCUAGUCACACGGUGCUGAAAGAUCGCCUGUCCUCAGUGAUCGUCACUGGUUUAGGAGUUUCACAUAGAAUAAACUGUCAUUGUACUGCUGUGUUCUAUUGUGGUACAGCGUAGGUUAGAUACGGAGAAAAACACACCUUGGACUGCUCUUAACAAGCUCCCCAGUAGGCCACGUUUCCUAGUCCCAGCCUGCUUAAGUACUCAACUACCAAGAGAUAAUGCACACCAAGGCAACGCCAAUGAUGGGAAAAAGUACCCAAAUGUCAUACUUGAGUAAAAGUAAAGUUACCUUAAUAGAAAAUGACUGAAGUAAAAGUCACCUAGUAAAAUACUACUUGAGUAAAAGUUUACAUUUUGGUUUUAAAAUAUACUUAAGUAUCAAAAGUAAAUGUAAUUGCUAAAAUAUACUUAAGUAUCAAAGCAAGACUAAUUUAAAAUUCCUAUUAAGUAAACCAGACGGUACAAUUCUGUUUUUUUAAAUUUACGGAUAGCCAGGCCACACGCCAACACUCAGAGAUCAUUUACAAAUUAAGAAUUUGUGUUUAGUGAGUCUGCUAAGCAUUAAAAAGGAAACAAGUACUUUUGGGUGUCAGGGAAAAGGUAUGGAGUAAAAAGUACAUUAUUUUCUUGAGGAAUGUAGUGAAGUAAAAGUUGUCAAAAAUAUAACUAGUAAAGUAAAGUACAGAUACCCCAAAAAAUGACUUAAGUAAUAUUUAAAAGUAUUUUUACACCACUGGUAAGCACAAAGUCAGAAGGAACGAGAACGUACGUCAAUUUCCAACAUUCAUAGUAUGGGGCCCAUAAUUGACCCAGAGGGCAAAACAGCUGCUAAAACAGAUGACUGUUUGUUUUCAUCAAGGUGUUCAGAUGGAAGCGGUCAGUCAGUUAUUGAACUUGAGGAGUCUCCUCUUUAUUGAAGUCAAAACAAAUUCUUGCCCCCCGUACGACUUACACCCAAUGUUUCAUAACCUUCAUUCCAUAUUUGUAUAACACUAUAGAUUUAAAUAAAACUAAUUCAAUCACAUAAUUCAAACUCAUGAAUUAAACUCAAUCACAGAGCCAUGAACAGCAGACUGAUGCCUUUCCCAGUAGGACUCCUGUAACAGUAUACAUAUUGGAUAAUCAACCAAAAGCAGUGCUAUUCAUUAACACUAAAUCCACGGGACAAAAUUAAGAAUUUUUCUUUACAAAACUGCCUACAACAGAAUAGCCAAUAAAAGAAGAGCACAGAGAAACCCACCUAUCACAGUGUUGUCCAGUGUCAAAUAGGUAAAAAGGGUUUACAGCUGAAAGGGAGGGGCAGAGAAACACACAGCAACAUCUUCUAGCAACACAAGUGGAUUGACAAUGAGGGAGUCAGUCAGUGAGCAACAGAGUGAGAGACAACACAGAGGGAGAGAGAGAACAGAGAGAGAGAGGGAGAGAGAGCGACAACACAGACAGAGAGAGAACGGGAGAGAGACAACACAGAGAGGGAGGGAGACAACAGAGAGAGACAACACAGAGGGAAAGAGGGAGACACAGAGAGAGAACGGGAGAGAGACAACACAGAGAGGGAGAGAGAGAACACAGAAGGGGAGAGAGAGAGAGAGACAACACAGAGAGAGAGAGAAAGGGAGAGAGAUAGACAACAGACAGAGAGAGAAAGGGAGAGAGACAACACAGAGAGAGGGAGACAGAGACAACACAGAGGGAAAGAUGGAGACAGAGAGAGAACGGGAGAGAGACAACACAGAGAGGGAGAGAGAACACAGAGAGAGGGAGAGAGAGACAACAGAGAGAAAGAGAACACAGAGAAGGGGGGAGAGAGAGAGAGAACACAGAGAGGGAGAGAGACAACACAGAGAGAGAGAGGGAGAGAGAGACAACAGAGAGAGACAACACAGAGAGAGGGAGAGAGAGACAGAGAGAGACAACACAGAGAGAGAGAAAGGGAGAGAGACAGAGAGAGACAACACAGAGAGAGAGAGAAAGGGAGAGAGACAGAGAGAGACAACACAGAGAGAGAGAGAAAGGGAGAGAGACAGAGAGAGACAACACAGAGAGAGAGAGAGAGAAAGGGAGAGAGACAACACAGAGAGAGAGAGAGAGAAAGGGAGAGAGACAACACAGAGAGAGAGAACACAGAGGGAAAGAGGGAGACAGAGAGAACGGGAGAGAGACAACACAGAGAGGGAGAGAGAGACAACAGAGAGAGAGACAACACAGAGAGAAAGAGAGGGAGAGAACACAGAGAAGGGGAGAGAGAGAGAGAGACAACAGAGAGAGAGGCCGAGAGAGAGACAACAGAGAGAGAAAGAGAGGGAGAGAACACAGAGAAGGGGAGAGAGAGAGAACACAGAGAGGGAGAGAGAGACAACAGAGAGAGACAACACAGAGAGAAAGAGAGGGAGAGAACACAGAGAAGGAGAGAGAGAGAGAGACAACAGAGAGAGAGACAACACAGAGAGAAAGAGAGGGAGAGAACACAGAGAAGGGGAGAGAGAGAGAGAGACAACAGAGAGAGAGGCCGAGAGAGAGACAAAAGACACAGAGAGUGACGGGGAGAAAGGGAGAGAAAGAAAGACUGACAGACGGUGAGAGACAAGGGCCUCAUUGAGCCCAUUAGUUCCUGAGACUGAUCUAAAUAGAUACAUGUAUAUAAAAAGGUACAUAUAGCCUGCCCACCCCUCUCGUUGUGCGGCAGGCGUAUCUAAAGUGCACAGAUAUAAAGACAGGAAAUAAAGAACAUUAAUUACCGGCCAGCCACAAACAACGACACUGCUCCCUUCUUCCCCCCCCAAGCUCUGCAAUGUUGACACACUCAAAAUAAAUUAAAUGCAUUACAUUUUGUAAUGAUAUAGAUAAUAAUGAUAAAAAAUAUAUAUAGACAAUCUAAAAUAUAUACCCCAUAACAGAAAAUAUUCCAAUGGAUGUAAACCGUUUAAAUGGAUAAAAGUGAGUUUCCCCUAGUCAUCAUAACCAAGGGGAGGCUACAGCUCUGGUAAGACUUCCUUGGUGCAGGUGCACUACACUAGAUUUAACCCAGGCUACCACAGCCAUGUACAGUAACACUAUUGAACAACUUUAAACCUGCCCUAAAGGAGGCAUCAGUUUUAGAAACCUCCAUAGACUUACUCUAUACAUAUUUUCUUCCUUUCAAGUCCACCAUUAUGUAUGUAUGUAUGUAUGUAUGGACACUGCAGGCAAUACCCUCACCAUUAUGUAUGUAUGUAUGGACACUGCAGGCAAUACCCUCACCAUUAUGUAUGUAUGGACACUGCAGGCAAUACCCUCACCAUUAUGUAUGUAUGUAUGGACACUGCAGGCAAUACCCUCACCAUUAUGUAUGUAUGUAUGGACACUGCAGGCAAUACCCUCACCAUUAUGUAUGUAUGUAUGUAUGUAUGUAUGUAUGUAUGUAUGGACACUGCAGGCAAUACCCUCACCAUUAUGUAUGUAUGUAUGUAUGUAUGUAUGUAUGUAUGUAUGUAUGUAUGUAUGUAUGUAUGUAUGUAUGUAUGUAUGGACACUGCAGGCAAUACCCUCACCAUUACGUAUGUAUGUAUGUAUGGACACUGCAGGCAAUACCCUCACCAUUACGUAUGUAUGGACACUGCAGGCAAUACCCUCACCAUUACGUAUGUAUGGACACUGCAGGCAAUACCCUCACCAUUACGUAUGUAUGGACACUGCAGGCAAUACCCUCAC